GGACGAACGCUGGCGGCGUGCCUAAUACAUGCAAGUCGAACGAACUCUGGUAUUGAUUGGUGCUUGCAUCAUGAUUUACAUUUGAGUGAGUGGCGAACUGGUGAGUAACACGUGGGAAACCUGCCCAGAAGCGGGGGAUAACACCUGGAAACAGAUGCUAAUACCGCAUAACAACUUGGACCGCAUGGUCCGAGUUUGAAAGAUGGCUUCGGCUAUCACUUUUGGAUGGUCCCGCGGCGUAUUAGCUAGAUGGUGGGGUAACGGCUCACCAUGGCAAUGAUACGUAGCCGACCUGAGAGGGUAAUCGGCCACAUUGGGACUGAGACACGGCCCAAACUCCUACGGGAGGCAGCAGUAGGGAAUCUUCCACAAUGGACGAAAGUCUGAUGGAGCAACGCCGCGUGAGUGAAGAAGGGUUUCGGCUCGUAAAACUCUGUUGUUAAAGAAGAACAUAUCUGAGAGUAACUGUUCAGGUAUUGACGGUAUUUAACCAGAAAGCCACGGCUAACUACGUGCCAGCAGCCGCGGUAAUACGUAGGUGGCAAGCGUUGUCCGGAUUUAUUGGGCGUAAAGCGAGCGCAGGCGGUUUUUUAAGUCUGAUGUGAAAGCCUUCGGCUCAACCGAAGAAGUGCAUCGGGAACUGGGAAACUUGAGUGCAGAAGAGGACAGUGUAACUCCAUGUGUAGCGGUGAAAUGCGUAGAUAUAUGAAGAACACCAGUGGCGAAGGCGGCUGUCUGGUCUGUAACUGACGCUGAGGCUCGAAAGUAUGGGUAGCAAACAGGAUUAGAUACCCUGGUAGUCCAUACCGUAAACGAUGAAUGCUAAGUGUUGGAGGGUUUCCGCCCUUCAGUGCUGCAGCUAACGCAUUAAGCAUUCCGCCUGGGGAGUACGGCCGCAAGGCUGAAACUCAAAGGAAUUGACGGGGGCCCGCACAAGCGGUGGAGCAUGUGGUUUAAUUCGAAGCUACGCGAAGAACCCUACCAGGUCUUGACAUACUAUGCAAAUCUAAGAGAUUAGACGUUCCCUUCGGGGACAUGGAUACAGGUGGUGCAUGGUUGUCGUCAGCUCGUGUCGUGAGAUGUUGGGUUAAGUCCCGCAACGAGCGCAACCCUUAUUAUCAGUUGCCAGCAUUAAGUUGGGCACUCUGGUGAGACUGCCGGUGACAAACCGGAGGAAGGUGGGGAUGACGUCAAAUCAUCAUGCCCCUUAUGACCUGGGCUACACACGUGCUACAAUGGAUGGUACAACGAGUUGCGAACUCGCGAGAGUAAGCUAAUCUCUUAAAGCCAUUCUCAGUUCGGAUUGUAGGCUGCAACUCGCCUACAUGAAGUCGGAAUCGCUAGUAAUCGCGGAUCAGCAUGCCGCGGUGAAUACGUUCCCGGGCCUUG
rnacentral:rRNA from 1 species